GCUUGUGUGCCCCUGUCUGGGGAGUGAGUGGCCUUGGGGCAGCACAGUUCCCCUGUCCGCAGGGCCAGCCGACCCUGCGUGGAGUCCGCCCGGGGACGCUGCAAUCUCACUGCUUCUGACGCCACACUGAGCUGCGCCAAUCAGCGCUCGCCGGAGCGGGAUGUAGGGCAGCCCUGCUGCUCCUGAGCUGGCAGGGACUGGGGGCUGCGCCGGACAGGGGGGCUGGCCAGCUGCACCCAUGCAAGGAAUGGGGCCCUUGCGGCUGGGCGGCCGCUCGGUGAUGUACACGGCUGAGACCCUGCCCAAGGGCAAGAACCGAGUGAUGGGGACCAUUCAGAUUAUGACCGGCUUCAUGCACAUUGGCUUCGGGAUCGUCCUAACAACGCUUACCAAUGUCUACACCUCUGUCUUCAUCAUUGGCGAGAUCCCCUUUCUGGGUGGCGUGUCUGUGCGUGGUAGCGGGGCUGGCAGGGGGAACAUGCUCAUGGGGACCCUUGGUGCUCCUCAGGCCCUCCAGCCUGCUGGGAACUCGUUCAUCAUCUCGGGCUGCCUGUCCAUCGGAGCGGAGAAGAGCCCUACAGAGUGUGCGGUGAAGGGCAGCCAGACCAUGAAUGUCAUCAGUGCCAUCUUUGCACUGCUGGGAAUCGUUGCCUUCAUCAUUGACCUGAACCUGAACGGGCUUUACCGCUCUAGCUUUGACUACUACAGUUAUCUCAUCAUGCUCGCAGGGAAUGGGAUCUCCAUCGUGCUGCUCAUCUUCACCAUCCUGGAGUUCUGCAUCGCGGUUGCCACUGCCAAUUUCUGGUGCCGGGCCACUCGCCUCCACGCCAACGAGGCCAUGCUGAUUGUGCCCAGCACCAUCCAGGCAGACCUGGCUGUGCCCCCAGUGGAGCUGCCCCAGCCGCCCAGCUACACUGAGGUGAGCCGCGAGCCCAAGGAGCCCAGCUGCGGUGCAUGGGGCAAGCAGGUCCUAGGAACAGCAGCUGCCAUUUCCUUCUUACUGCAGCUGGUCGCCCCGGAUGUCUAGCCAGGUGAUACCACUUGAAGAUGUCCCUGGCGCAGAGCCCAAGAGCAGCACUGGGUUGCCUCCUCACAUCAGAUCAUGCCUCUGACCCACUGCCCCCACGGCUCCUGCCGCUGUGGCCGCUCCAGAUGCAGUGCCCUGGCAUGGGGCAAGGGCCGAAGGUCAUGGGCAUCCUCCUCUUGACACAUGGCUGGGCCCGUGACCUGGCCAACCCUUCUGUGGACAUCUGCUCCAUGGCGGCAAGCCCAGAAGCCUGCUGGGGAGAAGGGGUAACUCCCAGGAGUGAGAUGCCCACAAUACAUCCCACCAGGGGCCAAGAACAGCACACGGCACUGGUAAGAAAAGUAAAGACAGGGCAGCUGGCAGGUGAGCAGGCUCAUGCUCUUCGGGGUGGAAAAGACAGCUGGAAAGAAGGGCUAGGAGAGCAUGUGAUGCAGGCAAAGAUGAAAAGGAAAUGCUGCUUCCCUCUCUAUCUGGUAUGUAAGGAAGGUGAAGUGAAGCUAACUGGUUGGGAAAGGCCUGCAGGAGGGGGUUUUCUGCACCCUGCAAUCAGUGAAAUGGAGGACCAGAGCUGAAAAGGUUCAGAGACCAGCAAAGCAAUUUGGCAUGGAAGAGGGGAAUAAAACCCACUGCAGGCUACAGAGAGCCUGUUCGAAGCUGCAGCCAUGUUCCCCAUUUGCCCUGCUGCUGGUGCCAGGUGAGGGAAACUGUGCUGAGCAGCCAGCCAUGUGUCCUCUUCCUUGCAGCACCUGGGAUACCACAGCGGCGCUGGGGAUUGUGCCUGGAGAACCCUUUGCUGCUUUGCCUCCCUACACCGCUAAUCAGCCUAUGCUGGUGGGGCAGGGGGCCAUGCUGGGGGAGGGGGCAGCCCCAGCCCCACCAGUAUGUCUCUGAAAGUGGAGCUUGGUAUGCUGUGCAUAAGGGAGAGUGCCUGCCAACCCUUGCCCCUGUGCUGGGCUUGCAGCCACCCCCAGGCUUCCCUAUAUCCUUUCUCCUUCCUAGGGCCUCCAGGGCCUCCUUGGUCUGCUGCACUUUGGCUCUGGCAGC